AAUUUUCUAGGGAAAGAGGAGGAGGCUGGUGGUGAUGGUGGGAUGUCUCCCUGGAGCCUGGGGGUUUGGAAGAAGUGGCCUCCUAAUUAUCUCCUGGUAACCAGGCCCUCAGAUAUGUUCCUCCCACACUGACUGUGGGUUAGGUCAUGUGACUUGCUUUGGCCAGUGGGAGUUUAGACCUCACUCACAUGUCUGAGGUGUCAGUUGGGAUGGCUGGAAUGGCUGGAAUUGCUGGAGCUUCUCUUCACAUAGCCUCUCAUCCUCCAGGAGACCAGCCCAGGAAUGAGCCAGACUCCCAGAGAAGUUUGGAAAGAAAGCAGGAUAUGAUGGAGAACAAUGAUGAGUGACCUGGUGCUAGAACCAGGAACAUAGAUACUUAAAGUCAGGAAGAUGCAUCCAGUAUUGUGGUACUACAGAGCUGCUCACUCUCUCAGGAGGGAAAUAAUGAGAAUGUGGCCCAAUCCAGGGAAAUCAGCCAUGGCAAAUGAUGGCCAUCAGAGGUCUAAGGAAUUGGUGUUUGGGUUAUUUCUGGUCCACAUGGUAAGUGUUCAGGUUCUGGAGGAUGGAAGUCCAAGAUCAGGGUGCCAGCAUGGUCGAG